GAGGAUUUCCUGCGGCCGAGCAGCCGGGAGGAGGCGCAGCGGCUGCUGGAGGAGGAGCGGCUCAAGGUGGAGCGGGUGAUGGAGCGGCAGCAGCGGGAGAUGCUGGAGGACGAUCGGUGGCUGCGGCACGAGGUGGAGAGCCUGGACCCCACGGUGUUCAUGAACAACAACAACCUCCCCCCGCUGCUCCCGGAGAAGGAGACGGAUUACACGCAGUUCACGGGACCCCCCCAGAAGCCUCCGAGACUCGGG